rnacentral:rRNA from 1 species
AUUGAACGCUGGCGGCAUGCUUUACACAUGCAAGUCGAACGGUAGACCCUUUCGGGGGUUGAGAGUGGCGAACGGGUGAGUAAUGCAUCGGAACGUGCCUAGUCGUGGGGGAUAACGUAGCGAAAGUUACGCUAAUACCGCAUACGCACUGAGGUGGAAAGCGGGGGACCGUAAGGCCUCGCGCGAUUGGAGCGGCCGAUGUCGGAUUAGCUAGUUGGUGAGGUAAAGGCUCACCAAGGCGACGAUCCGUAGCGGGUCUGAGAGGAUGAUCCGCCACACUGGGACUGAGACACGGCCCAGACUCCUACGGGAGGCAGCAGUGGGGAAUUUUGGACAAUGGGCGCAAGCCUGAUCCAGCCAUGCCGCGUGCGGGAAGAAGGCCUCGGUUGUAACCGCUUCGGUACAGAAGAAUACGCAUGGACGUAAUACUACUCGUGUGGAGUGACGGUAC